rnacentral:tRNA from 1 species
GGUGUAGCUCAGUUCGGUAGAGCUCUUGAUUGUGGUUCAAGCGGUCGCGGGUUCAAAUCCCGUCAC